CGUUGAGUGAUACUCAUCGUCACUUUAUAAUAUGCAUUUCAAAAUAUUUAUUAGGAAAAGCAACUCCCAAUAAGUAUGCAACCAAAUAUACUUCAGCGUGUAGUAGGUAUUGCCUAGAUUUUAAUAAGUAUUUGGACAAAGUUGGUGACUUUUAGGGGAAUUCGUAAUCUAGAAGUUGGUCCGUGUGUCGAUACGGCUUCCGGCUGACGUGUUUGUCAUUGCUUCGGGGAGAGCAGGCCAGCACUUAAUUUUCAACUCUUGUACAGAAGACAUCUGAUCUCCCGAUCUCCGGUGGCCAUUGCCAGAAUUUACCUUUUAGUUGGAAAAGUUAUAAGAUUAAUUUACGUUGGAGGAAGUUUUUAUUUUGUUUUGGGUUUUGUGAAGAGUUUGAGGAGAAGAGUUUUUGUUUCCAAUACUUUUUUGAAGAGCAAUGGCCACUGGAGAAAAAGGAAAUUAAGUCACCAUUUUUGUUUUUGUUGGAUAUGGAAUAAGCAAUCAGUUUGGGGUUUCUUUUGGUGUGGAUUGGGAUUUUAUGUUUUUUGGAAUCAACAUUGAUUUUUACCGGUACUAGUAAGUACCUCCUCAUCGGACCAUCCGUAUUGUGGUUGAGUAUCUCCCCAGGAUUGGAAACCGGAGGAUACCUACCUGGCUCUCCCAUCGUCAACCUCUCAAGGAGUUUGGAGAAGCCUCCGUCCCUACUUUUGUAGAAGCGACAGGUUUUUAUUAUAAAAUAUACAUUUUCAAUUCUUUUAAAUAACUGCUUGCAAUAUUAAUAUUUUUUCCAAUAAAUUAGAAAUAACCUUAAUAAUCAUAUAAACUCAUUUUUUCUAAAAUCACCAUUUGUAAUAUUCAAUCAUUUUUUUUUCAACAAGUUUUAUCGUUCACUGUUCGUACCAUUCAUUUAAAAUAGUCCGGGAAUUAUAAACUAUAUGUUAAGGUGUUGUAUACAAUAUCUACGGUUUUAAUUCCUAUUUAAUAACCUUUAUUUCAGUUAACAGGUAUGGUACUCAGGGUUAUCACUUAGGUCAGAUACGAGAUUGUCAACCAAUACUGUAACCAAUAUCCAUAAUACAUUUUUGUUUAAGUAAAUAACUUGUGAUUCCCAAUAACUGUCUUGAUCUAACUAAUUAAGUUCUUUGUUUUAAUUUUUAUUGCGAUCUCAUUGUCGACAGGAGCGUACUUUUCUAGUACAACAGGUACUGAUUAGCUAGUUUGUAUAAAAUUGUAUAUAGGGGUUAUAGGUUUUUUUUCAUUAAAUUUGUUGGUUGUACAUA
rnacentral:lncRNA from 1 species